rnacentral:rRNA from 1 species
AUGGCGAUUGCUGGCGGCGCAGGCGGCGACUGCGGCGGGUCUGCCGGCGUUGGACAUGAUGGUCCACCUGUGGGAGAUAUAUGCGGGAGCUCAAACCCUAGCUGGCCGUCGGAUACUAGCAUCCCCAGCCAGAGCCCCCAGCACUGUCUCGAAUAUGCGGUGGCAAGAUCUUGGGCCAGGGCAGUGAAGGAGAAUCCGUCGGAGAGUCAUCGGAUUGCCUCCUCAUUCGGCGGCGUCUAUUUGAGUGAUGAUGUUUGGGAAGUUAGAAUGCACUUCCAUGACAGAGACAACUUGGAGAGAUCAGUUUGCAUUUCAGACAUAACAUAUUAUAAUUUGGUUGCCCUAAUAGAGACGGAGGGAUAUGGGCUUAAUGAUUUCAUGUAUUUUCUGAGGGAUCCUGGUGUGGGGAUUACAGGAAUGGAUGAAAUUUGUGAUGAUGAAAAGGUGGAUGAAAUGCCUGACCAUAUUGCUAACAAUGAUCAGCAUGUAGUGAACUUGACAGUGGUUAGGGGCACUGAUCCAAGACCUGCAGAUUUGAACUCAGGCUAUCUGGUUGAUGAGCAGGUUCCUUUGAGCCAUAUAGGAGAGAACCAUGUAUAUGUAGUAAAUCCUUCUGGUGUUAUCUUAAGAUCACCACCAAAAAGUAUAAUACAGAGUCAGCCAGAGCCAUUGCGGUUCUACACUACACAACAGAGCACAAACCAUGAUCUGGAUACAAAUGCUGCCAUGGACCAAUCCAAUGCAGCAGAUCAGGAUGAACUGGAGACAUUAAUGGAGUUGAAGAGGAGAACGAAGAUUGCCAAAUUUAGGAAACAUAAGAUUGCAGCUGAGCAUGUAAAUAAGGUUAAGCAGAAGCUACCAAUUCUUCUAACUGAAGAUGAUUCAGAUCUGGAUGCAGAUGAGGACUAUCUUCAAAGGCUUAAUGAGAUGAGGAAGCAAAGAGAGGAUCCACUCAUUCAUUUUGACGGAGACACUGAUGUGGACGAACUGUAUGAGGAAGAUGAGGAGGUGGAGCAAGAGGAGCAGGUGCACCAAGAGGAGCAGGUGGAGCAAGAUGAGCAGGUGGAGCACCAAGAGGUGCCUACAAAGAAGAAUAAAGCUAGAAAAGGGCCAACAGAGAGGAAUAUGAUGAUGGAGCUGAGGAAGUACAAUUUGUUCUGCCCAAUGGAAGGAAGAGCAGAUCAGUGA